AUGGUGGCAGCAGUGCACCUGUUCUUCCAGGAUGCAACGAUUCUUCGAGUGCAAUCGCGAGGAGCGUUCCACGACGCGUCUAUGGCAGAGUACACCAGCCAGGCGUGUACAAAGAGCAUCCCCGGGCACUACGUUAUCUACAGCGAGCUGCUGACCACGGGCGGAGCCGGCGCCAGCGCGAUGGUGGACAAGGAGACCCUCGACGCUCGCUGCUUGGAGAUGGAGGUGGCACUAAAUACCGUUUACAAGCAGAGCAGGGUGGCGGGUGGGUCCAUAGAGCCGGAGGAGCUGAUGGACUAG
rnacentral:rRNA from 1 species